rnacentral:rRNA from 1 species
UACAGAGGGUGCGAGCUUUGUUCGGAAUUAUUGGGCGUAAAGGGCGCGUAGGCGGUGCGGUAAGUCACCUGUGAAAUCUCCUGGCUCAACUGGGAGCUUGCAGGCGAAACUGCCGUGCUGGAGUGUGGGAGAGGUGCGUGGAAUUCCUGGUGUAGCGGUGAAAUGCGUAGAUAUCAGGAGGAACACCUGUGGCGAAAGCGGCGCACUGGACCACAACUGACGCUGAGGCGCGAAAGCUAGGGGAGCAAAACGG